GACGAACCACACGAACGUUAUUCGGAAUUACUGGGCGUAAAGCGUGCGCAGGCGGUGAUGUAAGACAGGUGUGAAAUCCCCGGGCUUAACCUGGGAACUGCAUUGGUGACUGGCAGGCUUUGAGUGUGGCAGAGGGGGGUGGAAUUCCGCGUGUAGCAGUGAAAUGCGUAGAGAUGCGGAGGAACACCGAUGGCGAAGGCAGCCCCCCUGGGCUAACACUGACGCUCAGGCACGAAAGCGUGGGGGAGCAAACAGG
rnacentral:rRNA from 1 species